CAAAAUCGUAACGGUCGAACGAAAGCCAUCAUCACAGCCUCCAAACAGAUAGCCGUUUAUUCCCGUCUUUUCUACGCGUAAUUAACCUUUUUUAAGGAUUUGAUGGCAGAAAAUGGAUUGAAGUAAAAGGACAUUAUGAUAGAGAUAGUAAAAUGUGCUCGAGUUGCAAAGCCAGAAAAGAAAGAAGUUUGAGGUAUAAGGAAUGUAUCAAUGCUUAUAGUUAUUCACUAAUCACUGUACUUACAUCUAAAGCGCCUAUGCUUUAUAAACUGUUACUUGAAGCACAAAAUUGAAUAACUUAGCUUAGUAAAAACCUAGUAAUCAGUCUUGCACCUAAAA